GUCGCAGGUGUUAUUAAAGUAACAGUUUAACAGUCAGUACAGUCGCAGGUGUUAUUAAAGUAACAGUUUAACAGUCAGUACAGUCGCAGGUGUUAUUAAAGUAACAGUUUAACAGUCAGUACAGUCGCAGGUGUUAUUAAAGUAACAGUUUAACAGUCAGUACAGUCGCAGGUGUUAUUAAAGUAACAGUUUAACAGUCAGUACAGUCGCAGGUGUUAUUAAAGUAACAGUUUAACAGUCAGUACAGUCGCAGGUGUUAUUAAAGUAACAGUUUAACAGUCAGUACAGUCGCAGGUGUUAUUAAAGUAACAGUUUAACAGUCAGUACAGUCGCAGGUGUUAUUAAAGUAACAGUUUAACAGUCAGUACAGUCGCAG